UUCGGAUGUUUGGGGGGGCCCUGACCGCAAUGCCGCGUGAAUGAUGAAGGCCUUAGGGUUGUAAAGUUCUUUCACCUGUGAAGAUAAUGACGGUAGCAGGAGAAGAAGCCCCGGCUAACUCCGUGCCAGCAGCCGCGGUAAGACGGAGGGGGCUAGCGUUGUUCGGAAUGACUGGGCGUAAAGGGCGCGUAGGCGGUUUUUUAAGUGAGGCGUGAAAGCCCUGGGCUUAACCCAGGGGGUGCGUUUCAUACUGGAAGACUUGAGUACGAGAGAGGAAAGCGGAAUUCCUAGUGUAGAGGUGAAAUUCGUAGAUAUUAGGAAGGGGGGGGGGGGGGGAAGGCGGCUUUCUGGCUCGUAACUGACGCUGAGGCGCGAAA
rnacentral:rRNA from 1 species